rnacentral:rRNA from 1 species
CCAAUAGCGUAUAUUAAAGUUGUUGCAGUUAAAAAGCUCGUAGUUGAAUUUCGAGACCGGUUUACUGGUCGUGCUUUUGUACGUACUGGUAUAAUCGGUUUCUCUUUUCUGACGAACUAUAAUGCCAUUAAUUUGGUGUUUUAGGGAAUCAGGACUGUUACUUUGAAAAAAUUAGAGUGUUUAAAGCAGGCUCACGCUUGAAUACAUUAGCAUGGAAUAACGAAAUAGGACGUUUGAUUUUAUUUUGUUGGUUUCUAGGAUCGACGUAAUGAUUAAUAGGGAUAGUUGGGGGCAUUAGUAUUCAAUUGUCAGAGGUGAAAUUCUUGGAUUUAUUGAAGACUAACUACUGCGAAAGCAUUUGCCAAGGAUGUUUUCAUUAAUCAAGAACGAAAGUUAGGGGAUCGAAGACGAUCAGAUACCGUCGUAGUCUUAACCAUAAACUAUGCCGACUAGGGAUCGGAUGAUGUUAAUUUUAAUGACUCAUUCGGCACCUUACG